GCUUUCAUUGCGUUUGUUUGCUUAUUUCCAGAAAUGAUGUCUGAAUUGAGUGACUCCUUGCAUUCUCCAAGAAACUUAAAUUCUCAGAUGUCAGUUUAAGUAAAGAUUUUUUUAUUUUUUUUUAAGGUAUGUCUGUCUUUCCAUAUCUGUACAAAUGUGUGUCUAUCCAAACACACAAAUCUAAUGUGCAGCACAUCUGUUGUCUGUGUGUCUGGCCUAGUGCUCUGUAAUUUUAUUUUGAUAUUAUCCAGACGCACACAUGCAGCCUAUUAUAAGACAGAAUGUAUAUAUUAUGUGAGUCACUGCACCAUGAGGUUUACACAUGUUUAGCUACAGAUGUGAAGUGUGGAAGAAAAGCUUAUUUUUAAAGCAUCAAUGACUGGCAGAGUUUAGAUUUCACAUAUACUGUAUUUCUGGAUGAAAUUAGAACUCACAGCUAUAUUUCAUGCAUUUUCAGUACAGUGUAAAAAUGUAGAAAUAUAGAUUUUGACAACACAGAAAAG